rnacentral:sRNA from 1 species
AGUUGCUGUGGAAGCCCCAUAGGCAGGAGGCCCCCGGGCAGCACAUCCUGUCUGCUUGUGUCUGCUGCAGAGUUCUGUCCUUGCAUUGGUGCGCCUCAGGCCAGGCUGCACUGCUGGGACCGGGGCCAUGUCUCCCCACCCCACCGCCCUCCUGGGCCUAGCAAGAAGGAUUACAUGGAGACAGUGAUGUCGAGGAGGGUUGGCUUGGUCGUUAUGAAAUGCUGAAUGCCCCCCAGCUCCAUCGAGCCCCCUUUUGACAGCAGCCCCGUAAGGAGACUGGGCGGCGGGCAUUUUUCUCACUGGAGCUUCUCUUCCAGUGCUCUGCCUGGCCCAGACCAUCCACACGCAGGAGGUGGACGCUGAGAUCCUUCUCUGCUUCCCUCUUAGGGGCCCUGCCCAGACCCUCCAUCUCGGCUGAGCCAGGCACUGUGAUCCCCCAGGGGAGCCAUGUGACUUUCGUGUGCCGGGGCCCGGUUGGGGUUCAAACAUUCCGCCUGGAGAGGGAGAGUAGAUCCACAUACAAUGAUACUGAAGAUGUGUCUCAAGCUAGUCCAUCUGAGUCAGAGGCCAGAUUCCGCAUUGACUCAGUAAGUGAAGGAAAUGCCGGGCUUUAUCGCUGCAUCUAUUAUAAGCCCCCU